GAUGAACGCUGGCGGCGUGCCUAAUACAUGCAAGUCGAGCGAAUGGAUUAAGAGCUUGCUCUUAUGAAGUUAGCGGCGGACGGGUGAGUAACACGUGGGUAACCUGCCCAUAAGACUGGGAUAACUCCGGGAAACCGGGGCUAAUACCGGAUAACAUUUUGAACCGCAUGGUUCGAAAUUGAAAGGCGGCUUCGGCUGUCACUUAUGGAUGGACCCGCGUCGCAUUAGCUAGUUGGUGAGGUAACGGCUCACCAAGGCAACGAGGCGUAGCCGACCUGAGAGGGUGAUCGGCCACAAAGGGACUGGGACACGGCCCAGACUCCUACGGGAGGCAGCAGUAGGGAAUCUUCCGCAAUGGACGAAAGUCUGACGGAGCAACGCCGCGUGAGUGAUGAAGGCUUUCGGGUCGUAAAACUCUGUUGUCAGGGAAGAACAAGUGCUAGUUGAAUAAGCUGGCACCUUGACGGUACCUAACCAGAAAGCCACGGCUAACUACGUGCCAGCAGCCGCCGUAA
rnacentral:rRNA from 1 species